GCCCGGAUGGCUCAGUCGGUAGAGCAUCAGACUUUUAAUCUGAGGGUCCAGGGUUCAAUGUUCCUGUUCAGGGCG